rnacentral:rRNA from 1 species
AUUGAACGCUGGCGGCAGGCCUAACACAUGCAAGUCGAACGAGCGGCGGACGGGUGAGUAAUGUCAGGGAAACUGCCUGAUGGAGGGGGAUAACUACUGGAAACGGUAGCUAAUACCGCAUACCAUCAGAUGUGCCCAGAUGGGAUUGGCUGGUAGGUGGGGUAACGGCGCACCUAGGCGACGAUCCCUAGCUGGUCUGAGUGGAUGACCAGCCACACUGGAACUGAGCCACGGUCCAGACUCCUAUGUGAGGCAGCAGUGGGGAAUAUUGCACAAUGGGCGCAAGCCUGAUGCAGCCGUGCCGCGUGUAUGACGAAGGCCUCCGGUUUGUAAAGUACUUUCAGCGGGGAGGCGUUACCCGCAGAAGAAGCACCGGCUAACUCCGUGCCAGCAGCCGCGGUAAUUC